rnacentral:rRNA from 1 species
GUUUCGGCUAGGGGGUCAUCCCGACUUACCAAACCGAUGCAAACUCCGAAUACCAAUGAGUACUAUCCGGGAGACAGACUGCGGGUGCUAACGUCCGUAGUCAAGAGGAAAACAAUCCAGACCGCCAGCUAAGGCCCCAAAAUCAUAGUUAAGUGGGAAACGAUGUGGGAAGGCAUAGACAGCUAGGAGGUUGGCUUAGAAGCAGCCACCCUUUAAAGAAAGCGUAAUAGCUCACUAGUCGAGUCGGCCUGCGCGGAAGAUGUAACGGGGCUAAAACUAUAUGCCGAAGCUGCGGAUUUGCAAUUUAUUGCAAGUGGUAGGGGAGCGUUCUGUAAGCCGAUGAAGGUGGAUUGAGAAGUCUGCUGGAGGUAUCAGAAGUGCGAAUGCUGACGUGAGUAACGACAAAACGGGUGAAAAACCCGUUCGCUGAAAGACCAAGGGUUCCAGUCCAACGUUAAUCGGGGCUGGGUGAGUCGACCCCUAAGGCGAGGCCGAGAGGCGUAGUCGAUGGGAAAUUGGUUAAUAUUCCAAUACUUCUGUGUAAUGCGAUGAGAGGACGGAGAAGGUUAAGUCAGCCUGGCGUUGGUUGUCCAGGUGGAAGACUGUAGGCAUGCAUCUUAGGCAAAUCCGGGGUGCUCUAUGCUGAGAGUUGAUAGCAAGCCAGUUUACUGGUGAAGUGGCUGAUACCAUACUUCCAGGAAAAGUCUCUAAGCUUCAGUUACACUGGAAUCGUACCCGAAACCGACACAGGUGGUCAGGUCGAGUAGACCAAAGCGCUUGAGAGAACUCUGCUGAAGGAACUAGGCAAAAUGGUACCGUAACUUCGGGAGAAGGUACGCUGCUGUCUGUGAUAGGACUUGCUCCUUGAGCGGCCGACAGCCUCAGAAACCAGGCCCCUGCAACUGUUUAUUAAAAACAUAGCACUCUGCAAACACGAAAGUGGACGUAUAGGGUGUGAUGCCUGCCCGGUGCUGGAAGGUUAAUUGAUGGGGUUAGCGUAAGCGAAGCUCUUGAUCGAAGCCCCAGUAAACGGCGGCCGUAACUAUAACGGUCCUAAGGUAGCGAAAUUCCUUGUCGGGUAAGUUCCGACCUGCACGAAUGGCAUAAUGAUGGCGGCGCUGUCUCCAGCAGAGGCUCAGUGAAAUCGAAAUCGCUGUGAAGAUGCGGUGUACCCGCGGCUAGACGGAAAGACCCCGUGAACCUUUACUGCAGCUUGACAUUGAACUUUGAUCUUACUUGUGUAGGAUAGGUGGGAGGCUUUGAAGUGGUGACGCUAGUUGCCAUGGAGCCGUCCUUGAAAUACCACCCUGGUAAUAUUGAGGUUCUAACUCUGCUCCCUGAUCGGGAGCGAGGACCAUGUCUGGUGGGUAGUUUGACUGGGGCGGUCUCCUCCUAAAGAGUAACGGAGGAGUACGA